CGAUAGAAAAUCAUCAUUCGAUGUUUUUUAGAAUCCCAAGAUUUGUGGGAUGUUGUGGAGAAUAAUAAUUAUGAAAAAGAAUUGGGUAAAGAAGAAUUUAGAAAAAGAGAUAGAGAAGUUCUAUCAUAUAUUUUUCAAGCAGUGGAUCUAUCGUUGGUAGGAAAAAUUUCAACGAUAAAGACUGCACGAGAAGCGUGGAGA
rnacentral:lncRNA from 1 species